rnacentral:rRNA from 1 species
UACGGGGGGAGCAAGCGUUGUUCGGAUUUACUGGGCGUAAAGGGCGCGUAGGCGGAUCUUUAAGUCGGGGGUGAAAGCCUGUGGCUCAACCACAGAAUUGCCUUCGAUACUGAAGAUCUCGAGACCGGAAGAGGUAAGUGGAACUGCGAGUGUAGAGGUGAAAUUCGUAGAUAUUCGCAAGAACACCAGUGGCGAAGGCGGCUUACUGGUCCGGUUCUGACGCUGAGGCGCGAAAGCUAGGGGAGCAAACAGG